rnacentral:rRNA from 1 species
CCAUCGACGAAGGGUUUCUGACGGUAGAUGGAGAAGAAGCACCGGCUAACUACGUGCCAGCAGCCGCGUAAUACGUAGGGUGCGAGCGUUGUCCGGAAUUACUGGGCGUAAAGAGCUCGUAGGUGGUUUGUCGCGUCGUCUGUGAAAUUCCGGGGCUUAACUCCGGGCGUGCAGGCGAUACGGGCAUAACUUGAGUACUGUAGGGGAGACUGGAAUUCCUGGUGUAGCGGUGAAAUGCGCAGAUAUCAGGAGGAACACCGGUGGCGAAGGCGGGUCUCUGGGCAGUAACUGACGCUGAGGAGCGAAAGCAUGGGGAGCGAACAGGAUUAGAUACCCUGGUAGUCCAUGCCGUAAACGGUGGGCGCUAGGUGUGGGUUUCCUUCCACGGGAUCCGUGCCGUAGCUAACGCAUUAAGCGCCCCGCCUGGGGAGUACGGCCGCAAGGCUAAAACUCAAAGGAAUUGACGGGGGCCCGCACAAGCGGCGGAGCAUGUGGAUUAAUUCGAUGCAACGCGAAGAACCUUACCUGGGCUUGACAUAUACAGGAUCGCGCCAGAGAUGGUGUUUCCCUUGUGGCUUGUAUACAGGUGGUGCAUGGUUGUCGUCAGCUCGUGUCGUGAGAUGUUGGGUUAAGUCCCGCAACGAGCGCAACCCUUGUCUUAUGUUGCCAGCACGUUGUGGUGGGGACUCGUAAGAAACUGCCGGGGUUAACUCGGAGGAAGGUGGGGAUGACGUCAAAUCAUCAUGCCCCUUAUGUCCAGGGCUUCACACAUGCUACAAUGGUCGGUACAGUGGGUUGCCAGUCCGUGAGGGCGAGCUAAUCCCGCAAAGCCGGUCUCAGUUCGGAUCGGGGUCUGCAACUCGACCCCGUGAAGUCGGAGUCGCUAGUAAUCGCAGAUCAGCAACGCUGCGGUGAAUACGUUCCCGGGCCUUGUACACACCGCCCGUCACGUCAUGAAAGUCGGUAACACCCGAAGCCAGUGGCCUAAACUCGUUAGGGAGCUGUCGAAGGUGGGAUUGGCGAUUGGGACGAAGUCGUAACAAGGUAGCCGUACCGGAAGGUGCGGCUGGAUCACCU